UCGUAUAAAUAUGCUCCUAUCAAUUUCCCCCACACUUAGCUUUUGCUAGUCCUCGAGCAAAACAAAGAAAACAAGAACAAGUAGUAACAAGAAAAACAUUAGCUUCCCCCUAUGUGACCCUCAUAGAAUUUCAUUUGAGAACACAAAUCAACAAGAACCAUAGCUAGCACCAAACAAGCUAAUCCAAGUUCAUCUUCCUUAUUCAAAUAUUAGCAGUAAUCUUUAAAUCAUCCUUGAAGUGUAGUGUGUGAGAUAGCCAUGCUAAUGCAAUUUCAAAAUUUUUUUUUUAUUUAUUUAUUUUUAAAAUCAUCAUAUGCAAACUAGCAACCUUCUCACGGGAUAUACACUCAAUCACACAUGUGUUUAGUUUAAAUGUGUUUCGCUCAAAGAAUCAAAUGUGAAAUUUCUACCAUAAGCUUGCAUAAAGAUCACUUCUCCACAGUCAUAAUUGCAAAACUUAAAUCAAGAGGACUUUUAUUGGAUGUAAUGAGGCUUAGGGAUAGGGUUAUUGAAACGAAAGAAUAGGAAAACACAAGUUCCAAGCUACAUUGCAAGCAAUUCUUUUGUUUAGAUUUAUAAGAACUCAAUCUUUCCAGCGAUUCUUCUAGCACCUCCAACCACACCCUUAACUGAAACUUGAAAAACUUUUUAUUUUCUUUGUAUACAAUCUUUCUUUUUCUUUUUUUUU
rnacentral:lncRNA from 1 species